CGCUAUUGGUAUUUGUAAGGCUGUAUGUGGCUGCCUUGAUGUGGAUUUACUGACCUCUCAAGUUCAAUGUUCCAAGCUUUGCGGCAUUUUAGUUGAGAGGCACCAGGGCUGGUUACUAGAAAACAGAACGUUUCACAAAUGAAAGAUGUGACAAUUUUGCAUCUUUGGAAAGGGUCUUGGUGGAGCAGGGAGUGGUAUUGUGUUAUUUUCUUUGCUACUCUUCAAGCCAAAAUCAAGGUUUAAUAAAUCAUCAGCAUUUUACUCCUCUGUCUUCAGAAAACUUAGGGAGCAGAAGAGUAACAUUGAGGGAGAACUGGAAAAAAUAUUCUCAACGCCUGUUACUGCUACUGUAGAAGAGCCUCCUGCAGAACCAGCAGCUCCUGAACUCAUUGCAACGAUCGUCCUCGGUGUUCUGCUCGCCUGCACCCUUGUAGCCUGCCUGGCAUACGUACUUUUUACUAUAAGAAGGAAAAGAAAGCAUGAGCAACAGCAUUUGGUUAAGAAGCAAGCUGAAACUGUGGAGGGUAUUGACAAUCUGUAUGCAAUUGAUGAAAAGGGAAGUCUGAGAAGCUUAGAGAAACUAGAGCACACAAAUAAUGUGAAAAUGGAAACAAUAGCGUUCAGCAAUCCGGAAGAUGCUGACAACGACAACCUUCAGGCCAAUGAAGGAUGCAAUUACCUUGAGACACUGGAUCACAACAGCGAACACGAAGAAAAUGCAGGAUCUGAAAAAGCCACUGAACCUAGAAAUGCAGAUUCCCAGCCCCAUGCAGAAUUGACAAAACAGGUAAUUAGCUUUUCAACUGCAAAGAAUGGAGAGAAAGGUAUUUUAUCAUUAUUCAUCAGAACACUGGAAGAAUUAUCCAAAAAAAGUAAACUUGUGAUAGAACUAAAAAAAUCC
rnacentral:lncRNA from 1 species